CAAGAACUCAUCUUUUUCGAGAAGAUUACUUGGCCCGGAUACCACAAAGAAUGACGGCCUUUUGCUGGCCCAGAUCUGGGUUGCCAGAGAUUCGUUGGAAGGACCAUCUUGAAAAUCUAUCAAAGGUUACAUUGGACGAAAAGCCACUCGCAAAAGGAAGCGUUUGGAGCGAGUCAAGACGUGUGGUGAAAAAAACUAAAGUCAACGAUGAUCCAGAAAAAUGGGGAAUUGAACAGUCGUGUGUCACCAGAGUGAACUGCAGUGGGCCGAACACACAUCCCUGUUGGGAAACUGUGUUCAGUCUGAGGACCUUGGAGGUGUUAUUUCCAGGUGUAAGGUGUAAGUCCAAUAUCCACUGGCAGAAUGGACAGCUUAUUCCCAGGUGGUCCAACUUCAUUAUAAGCUUCUGAGGGACGGCGGUAUUGAAAGCCGAGCUGAAGUCGAACAGCAUUCUGACGUAAGUGUCUUUUUUUGUCUACGUGGGAGAGGGUUGUAUGAAGAAUAGUCUUAGGAGCGGUUUGGUCGGUACGCAAACUACAGUGGGUCCAGAUUCUGUGGGAGUUGGGUCUUCAUGUGCAUCAGAACCUGCCUCUCAAAGCACUUUGUGAUGAUGGGUGUGAGUGCUAUUGGCCGGUAAUCAUUGAUGCAGGACACAGUUGACUUCUUUGGUAGUGGGAUGAUCUUGGUGGUUUUGAGGCUGGUAGGUGCCACGGCUGAACUUAGUAAUGUGUUGAAGAUAUCUGUGAAGCACACUCCCGUAUCACAUGCCCAGGAAUGUUGUCUGGUCCUGCUGCUUUCCACGGGUUUUCUCUGCGGAAGGCCAUCCUGAUGUCUCCCGUGGAAAGAAGGAAGACCUGUUCGUUGGGAGAGGGAGUCGUUUUUCUCGAUGGCUCCCUGAUUUCUGC
ensembl:lncRNA